rnacentral:lncRNA from 1 species
UUUGGUGGAGGUUUAAAGGUUUUAAGAAAAUAAAAACUGGACUGAUUUCUUGGCUUUUUGGCCACUUUAGGGUCAAUUUUUGUUAAAACUAAAUCCGGAAAUGAAAUCUACGCCAAAAAUGGAGUGGAGAGAUGUAUUUUGAGAAAUUUUGGCUAUCGGAGAGGUUGCCGGCGAUCGGUGGUGGCGCCGUCGGAGGCCGCCAUGGCCGCCAGCUGAAGCUGAAGGGAAGGAAACGGCUGGAAGUGGAGAAAGAGGAAAGAAAGAAAAGAGAAGAAGAAAAAGAAAAGAAAGGAAAGAAAAGAAAAAGGAAUGUGGUUUGGGCUAAUUUUAUUUUAUUUUUAGUGGGCUUGUUUUUAUUUGCGGUUGGGCUAGAAGGUCAGACCCAUGCUUUAUUUUGGUUGGGUUUGAGUGAUAAAAAACGGGCUGACCUGUGUGUUUGGUCUUGGAUUUUCGGCUGGGCUUGGGUAAUGUUCGGCCCAAAGAAAUAAAUGAUGGCCGAUGGCCUUUUUGUUGCCCAAAUCAGAAACCAAAAUUUGCACUUUUACCCCUGAUCUUUGGAGUAGUUUUAUUGCGGCCCAAAACAUUUCAAAUUGCUUUCAAUUAGGUCCUUAAUUUAAUUGUUCUUUGGUCCCUGAACUUUAUCUUUCCUUCAAUUUUGACCCUUGAACUUUGGAAAAAUAUAAUUUUUGUCCCCAAAAGUUUUUUCAUUUUUGCAAUUCAGUCCCUGGUGAAUUUUGACUCUCU